UCGUGCUAGGCGGGGAGCCAGCGGUGCCCUGUACCCGCAAUCCGCUACAGCGGGGCUUAAUUCCCAACCCUAGGCUCUGUUGUCUCAGGAUAUACCAGCCAUAAGCGGCGUUGAUGGUCAGGUCCUGUGCAACGGAAGGUCGCUAAACCCCGUCAGGACCGGAAGGUAGCAGCGGUAGGCGUUCUCUUGCGUGUGCCGCAGGGCAACCUGACCGGAGUCGGCUGUGACUGUGACGCCCGGGACAAACGGCCAAAGGUGGGUGCACGA
rnacentral:SRP_RNA from 3 species